AGUUCAUCUUCUGAUAUGAUCAGCUUUGAUUUGUCGAAUGGGGAUCCAUAUCCUCAUCUUGCGGUAGCUUUAGAUGAUGAUCAAUAUGUGGAGUUUCACGUAGAUGAGCUAGCAGAUUUUCCAUCUAAUGCAGAGGAAGAAGAGAGGAUGCUGAUGGAAGCAAUGAUGAAAUCGCUGAAGGAUGUGGAGGUUGAAACUAAUCAGAA